rnacentral:rRNA from 1 species
GUUGACCUCGGAUCAGGUAGGGAUACCCGCUGAACUUAAGCAUAUCAAUAAGCGGAGGAAGGAUC